AAAAAGACGGGACCGGUGAACCUGAUCACGGUAGCGUAAGAGUAGUGCAGUCUCUGAAAUCCUUUGGACAAUACUUUUCUGGACCUUAAUGAAGUUGUAAAGGAUGGAGAAAGGCGCAGCGCACAAACCGCAGCCGUCCAAAAGGGCAGACAGUCACGCGGACGACAUCGCCAAGGUAGCCGACGAGGAGCUGCUCCUGUGGAGCAAAGACGAGCUGGUGAGACGGUUGCGGAGGACCGAGGCAGAGAAGAGAGGCGUCAUCGUGGAGCACGGGAACCUGAUGCGGGAAGUGAACAGAAGGCUUCAGCAACACCUGAAUGAGAUCCGGAGUUUGAAGGAUGUGAACCAGAAAUUGCAGGAAGAUAACCAGGAGCUUCGGGACUUGUGCUGCUUCCUGGAUGAUGACCGUCAGAAAGGGAAACGGGUGACACGAGAGUGGCAGCGCCUUGGUCGCUACAGCAGUGGUCUAAUGAGGAGGGAGGUGGCUAUCUACCUGCAGAAGCUGAAGGAGUUGGAGCAGCGGCAGAGUGAUGUUAUGCGAGAUAAUUUGGAGCUGAAGGAGGUGUGCCUCAUGCUGGAGGAGGAGAGAGCUAAUGCUACUGCUUUAGGGAGUGGUGCCUGUAGGCAAGAGGGGAACGGUUGUAGGACUUCCAUUGACAGUCAGAGCAAUCUGUCGCAGCUGGGGGGAGGGCUACCUGCACCUGGCCUGUUGCGUGAUGUUGGUGAUGGAAGCAGCACUUCCAGUACAGGAAGCACAGAGAGCCCUGAUAUUGCUCAGAAAAAACUCUCACCUUUGGGUUCCAGUGCAAGCCCUAGAUCAACAUGUUCUCUCCUGGAACCACCUAACAGACUGGGAGAUCUGUGCGAUUCCACAGGCAGGAGGCAUAGCUCCACUCCAGAAUAUCACACCUUCCCCCAGCCAUACCGCCCACGAGGUGGGUCCCUCACCAACUUGGACCCUCAAGACUUUGGAGGACAGAGCCCGGAAAAACAAAACAGAUCUCCCAAAAGGCAAACGUGCAACUUCCACCGCAAGGCCUGCAGCUCUGACCUACUUGUCCAGAAGCAGUUAUUAAUUUUAGGGCAAGUAUCACCAGGGUGUGGGAAGAGCAUGGCCAAAUCCAAUCCAGAGUUGAGUCAAAGACACUGUACAGACAACACUAUGAGGGCAAGCUGUGGGAGCCCCGAGCUAAGGAAAUCAGUACUCGGAACACCUGAGCAUCAAAGGAAAGGGAGAGUGAUAGUGGGGAGUCCAGAGUCUAUACGACACCUCCAUCACUUUCAAGUGAGUCCUGGGCUGGAAUACAGUAUGGGAGGGAUAAGUGGAGGCUCCCCGAACCGGGAUGCGCUUCACAGGAGGGCUGCUGGAGAGGAGAUGUCGCCCCAACACCAGAGUCUGUACAACGGUAGGCACAGGUUCUGAUAUCCGCUGGCUGCUGCACCAACUCCUGCAGGAGUGUAAAGCUUUGGGACAGCUUUGGUGGCUCCUGACCGCACAUGCCUCUUGAUCAGUUGCUGCUUGACAACGCACACUCCAGAGAGAAAGAGGGGGAGAGAGAGGUUCUUAGCACAUUUAUGGAUGGAAGGACACAUGGAUAAAUACACAAGAGAAGGGGUAAAUGCUCACGAAGUUCUGAAUCAAUCAAUGGAGGUUGAUGCAACUCUUGCCCUACUGGCUGCUGCUGUGCAUUUCUGUUAACCACCACAAAUGACUGAAAACAUUUUAUUUAGUUGUUUUGUGUAUAUUUUGAGACACCAACCUUUGAAUUGCCAAAGUUAAGAACCUGCAAACAAUGACAAUGCUCAUAAUAGAACAGUUCUACAUCUGUGUAAAAAUAGAGCAUUAGCUGUGGAAGUACUUUCUGGGGGAACGCAAUGUCACAGAGUAGGACAUUCAACUAAUGAUACAAUUGUUGUUACGGCUGGCAUUAAAGCACAAGGAGUUACACAAUCAUGAUUAUGUCAUUGUUAUGGUGCGUACACACCAAAUCCGUUGCGAGAGUACAGCCUCACUGGCUGUUGCGAGGCAAAGCUCGAAUAGACUAAAUGAGUGGAUUUUUGGUGCCCGUGCACGCCCCCAGCCACUCCAAACACGUCAUCCACCACGCCCCCUCAUGCAUCCGCACCCCACCCCACCGCACAAACUAUAUUGACUUUAAUUGAACUGCACUCACAACAGAUUUGGUGUGCACAUAGCAUGAGGCAAAUUGUUCACGUUGUAGCUCACUUGUACUCUGCUAGCCGAGACUCAAUUCUAGGUCAAUGCCCCUUUUGCAAAUUUCCAUCACUAAUUUUAGACUUAUUUUGAAGCUUGCGUCGACCACCGCGGAUCUGUUCAGUAUUGGCUGCACUCAUAGUGCAAAUAAUAAUGAUCAUAAUCGUCAUCAUAAAACAUCAGGGGUUACGCCAAAGGAAGCCCCGGCUGCGACUCUCAUUGAAGUGAAUGGGACCAUGCACUCGUGAAAAUAUUUCCAUCAAGUUUCAAUAUUUACAAUAAAUAUUGUUUUUAGAGUUGAGAGCACUUUGGCUGGUUCUACGCUUGUGUAUUUUAAGGCGGCCUUCAAUAUCGGCCGAAAUAUCUGCCUAAUUUUGCAGGAUCGGUCCAAUAAAAAUAAUUUUUUAAUAUCGGGGCCGAUAUUUGCCUUUUUGACACAUACCAUGCAUCUCUAUCUCGUCCCAAAAAUCCCCAAAUCUGUCUUUCCCGGAUGUGUUGAUUUACAGAACAGAUUGGUGUCUUUAUUUAAAUUCCUGAAAAAUCAGGAGACCGAUUGACAUUGUAAAGAGCCAAGUAUUUCAACACUAACACUCGUCUCUGCAGUGAGCAUUUUAAGACAGAUAGUUUUGUAAAAAUUGACCAGAGAAAACAUGGCGUCACGUAUAGGUGUUUCGGUUGUGUGAAUGGGGCAGUGCCGACUGUCUGCCUAAUGGGCCUCAUCCUAGUAUCCUGCUGUCAUCAUGUGCCAUGAUGGGUUGUGCCAUUGAGCUCUAUUUUCGUGCUGAGCACAAGUCUCGCACGAGUUGCAGUCUUAAUGUACAUCGAUCCGGGGUAGACCUUGUUUUGUUUUUCUCAUCGUGGAUUUAAACAGGGAAAUUUGCGCCGUUGUGGGCUUGACCUCAUCUGUCAUCAAUCAAAGCAGCGCCUCUUUUAUCCUUUAAAUGCAGCGUGUGAGUAUCACAUGAUAGUCCAUGACACAGCUGAAGAAACUGAUUUGCUCUAGUCCUGCGGUAGGGCAAGGCCCGCAAGUACAGUAUGUUUUAAAGGCACUGCAAGCAAGAUUCCAAAUCUAUGAAGUGAGCACUUCCUCCCAAAGCGUUGGUGUCUGUCUGAAUUCUGCAAUCAUUCAAGGCGCUGCAUGCUGUUGCCAUAUUUAUGAACGAAAUACAUCCGCCACACACGUCAGUGGCACUGAGGAUCUGUCUGCCGAUCAAAUUCAACAAAGCGCCAAAAUGUUAACGUUGUUCCAGCAAGUGUAAAGUUCAGAUGAAUAUCUGCGACCAAAAUUUCAGAUGUGCUGGACGCAUGUCAAAAGGGCCACAACCUCUGUGUGCCACAACGCAGAGAUGAACCAAAUUCCCAAACAGGCACAUUGAAAUGUACCAUUAUGUCCCCAACAGCAAGUGUAAGUUUGCUUGUGUGCUUAUUAUAUUCAUAGUCCACACGAACUACUACAUUUUGAAAUUGAGCCGUAUGUCGAGAAGCUAGACAAAGUAGCACCCAUUUUCCUGGUCAUGAAAUUAUUUGUUUUGGGUGAAGCACCACAACUUUGAAUUUGCUGCCAAUUUUAGCUUUUAUAGGGGCUUCAAACGUAUUUAUACUGAGUAUGCAGAAAGACAGUUAAGUAUUCUUAGUAAUUUGAGGAUGAAUGUCUAGAUUUAAAAAAAAAUAUAUGCGAUCAUGUAAAAGCAAUACAAAAGAAAUUCAUCCUUAUAUUCAACCUCAAAGUAGUAUCGCAACAAUGUAUAUCCAAAGCCAUCAUUUUAGUUAAUGACAAAACAGGCAUUAGGCAUCCAAAAGUGUUCAGAAACACCUCUUUGAUUAAAAUACACAUACAUACACACAACCAAACAUUGUGGUGGAAAAUGAGAACGGUAAUGAUGCUUUAUUCAUCACAUGUCCCAUGUACAGUGCUUCCGGCGGAACACCCGAGGACUGAAUCCAGAUUUUUUCGUUAAAAUAACAGACUGGAAAUCAAAAUGAUGUGAUUUAAGUUGUACAAGGAACCAAAACACGCAGAAAAAAAAUCUACAUGUGCAUGAGAAGAACUGAUUCGCCACAAAAAGAGCACCAACAUUGAUUGGUUAAGACCAGUGAGAGCUAGAAUCAAGAUUUUUUUUCUGUAAGGCAGCAGAGAAAAUCACUUUACUGUCACGCUGCCCUUUGGAACUGCGAUGAACAAAAUCUGACAAUUCAACUACAGAAAAAGAACUUUGUAACAAAAAAUGUUUCUGUAUCCUGUGUGGUUUGUGAAGGGCAGCUCAGGUUCAGCAAAAGCCUUUCUGAAGACUUUUUUUUCCCAUACCUGUCAACACAUAAAAAUUAGCAAGAAACAAACACAUUAGGAUUAUAUGUACAUCCUAUAUAACCACUUAUUCUCAUGUCUCUGUUUGACUGAAGAAUGAAAUGAAGAGAAAUAUGUUAUGAUAGCAAUAGAAUUAGUCAACAGUAGUCGUGUAAAUCUGUAAUUUUAUACAUAUAUAGUGUACCAUAAAUUAUUUUUGCUUCCUCACCAUAUGAUAUUGCUGUAAUUAUGAUAUCCUAAAUUGUAUGUAGAAAUCAAUAAAGUGACUUUACAGAAAACAUUGUUUCUGUUUAGUGUAUUUGUGUGGCUUUCCUUAGAACAGUGGUCAAGUCAAGUCAAGUCAACUAGGUGUCAGACAUAAAGCACACGGGCCGGAACCGGCUCCCGAGUAGGUUCAAUCAGGCCCACUGGAUAAUUUAAAAAUGAAAAAAUGUAUAAAAGACACUGCAUGAAUAUUUUAAUAAGAUGCAAUUCAUGGGUUAGCCGCUAGGAGAAACACCGUUUUCUCUUUUGUUUUUAAAGUGUAGGCAUGGAUUAAAUUUCGAUUUUAUAUGCACAUGUGUAAAUGCUUUAAAAAAAAUCCUUUAUUUAUAAAUCUCAUUUAAUACAUGACUAUAUUUUUCAAUACUAAUUACUUGUUAAAGUUAUGUGGCUUUGUACAAUCAGUGGGAACAUGAAAUGUUUU